AUGGCGACCAUCGCCGUCCCGACGCCCCUGCCGUCCCCGGCCGCCGACGCGGAGAGCCUCAGGAAUGCCGUGCAAGGCUGGGGCACGGACGAGAAGGCCCUGGUGGAGAUCCUCGGCCGGCGAACCGCCGCGCAGCGCGCCGAGAUCCGCCGGGCCUACGCCAGCCUCUACAAGGAGUCCCUCCUCACCCGCCUCCACGACGAGCUCUCCGGCCACUUCCAGAAAGCGAUGGUGCUGCUGGCGACGGACCCGGCGGAGAGGGACGCCAAGCUGGUGAGGGAGGCCCUGGGCAGGCGGGGCGACGACAGGGACGCGUGGGUGCUCAUCGAGGCCGCAUGCGCCGCCACGCCGGAACACCUCGUCGCCGUCCGCCGCGCCUACCGGUCCCUCCAUGGAUCCUCCCUGGAGGAGGACGUCGCCGCCUGCUCCGCGUUCCAAGAACCGCUCAGGAAGCUGCUGGUGAGCCUGGUGAGGUCGUACCGGUGCGCGGAGGAGAGCGUGGACAUGGACGUGGCCAAGCUGGAGGCCGCGCAGCUGGCGGAGGCCGUCAGGAGGAAGAAGCAGCCGCACGGCGGCGAGGUCGUCCGGAUCGUGAGCACCAGGAGCAAGUCGCAACUCGCAGCCACGUUCCGGUGCUACAAGGAACAACAUGGCAGCGACAUCGAAGAGGACAUGAAGCAGUACAGCAGCAGCCAGUUUGCAAGGAUGCUCAAGAUUGCUGUCUGGUGCCUCACAUCUCCUGAAAAGCACUAUGCAGAGGUUAUCAGGUACUCCAUCUUAGGACUUGGAACGGACGAGGACACACUCACCAGGGCAAUCGUGUCCAGGGCCGACAUCGACAUGGAGAAGAUCAAGCAAGAGUACAGGGUCAGAUUCAAGACGACCGUAACAGACGACGUCGUCGGUGAUACCUCGCGGUAUUACAUGGAUAUCUUGUUGGCCUUGGUAGGGAAGGAGUGA
rnacentral:rRNA from 1 species